rnacentral:sRNA from 1 species
ACUCAACUACAGUAUUUCCUAUUCCUAAAAGAAUCUAGUAGGAAGGCUAUAAGAAAUGUUCUCUUACUGAUCCUUCUUAUUUGCCACCUUAGAUUUUAAGUUGCUUCUUGGCUACCAAAAUGCCUAGACACAGUAACUAACAAGAAUUCAACUGACAGGUAGUUUGACCAGACUUGGAGGAAGGAUUCCUUCAAAGUUACCAUCCUCAAGGGAUUGGCUAAAAGCAAGCAACUGGAUUGAACACCCUAAGAAGAAAGAUUCACACUGCACCAGGAGACAUCAGAA